UUUUCUUUCAUCUUCUCUUUUCUUUCAGUUUUUUUUAAUUUUAUUUCAAAAUUUCAAUUUUUAUUUAAAAAUACCAGAAGGUUGAUGUGGUGCUGUUGUGAUAGGAUUUAGUUUUUUAGGGUGAAAGUUGACAAUGUUGAGUUCCGUGAGCUGAAGGGAAGCUCUAAAAAAAAGGUCGUACCCAGUGCACAAGGCUCCC
rnacentral:lncRNA from 1 species